AAAUAAUUUAAUAAUUUUAUUUUUAAUUAAUUUUACAUAUAAAUUUUAGUAUUAAAUUAUUAUUAUUUAAAUAAUAAUAAUAAUAAAUUAUUUAGUAAUUAAUUUUAAAUUAUUUAAGAAAUUAAUAUUUAGUUAUAUUUAAAUUAUUAACAAAUUUUGUGCCAGCAGUUGCGGUUAUACAAAAAAUAAAAUAAAAUUUAUUAGUAAUUAAUAAAAUUUUUGUAUAUAUAUAUAUAUUUAUAUAAAAAAUUUUUUUAUAUAAAUUAUUAAGUGAAAUUUUAAUUUAAAAAUAAAAUUAAUAAAAAAUUGAUUUUAAAAAAUUUUAUAAAAAACUAGGAUUAGAUACCCUAUUAUAAAAAUUUAAAUUAAAAUACUAAAAUAGUAAUUAAUUAUUUAUUGAAACUUAAAUAAAAUGGCGGUAAUUUAGUUUAUUUAGAGGAAUCUGUUUAAUAAUUGAUAAUCCACGAAUAAAUUUACUUAAUUUUAAUUUAAAUUUGUAUAUCGUUGUUAAAAAAAUAUUUUUAAAAAAUUAUAAUAUUUUAAUUUUUAUAAAAAAAAAAUUAAAUCAGAUCAAGAUGCAGUUUAUAAUUAAGAAUAUAAUGGAUUACAAUAAAAUUAUUUAUUUGAAUUUUAAAUUGAAAAAUUUAAAUGAAAUUGGAUUUAAAUGUAAUUAUAUUUAAUUUAUUAUAAUGAUUAAAAAUUAAAUUAUGUACAUAUUGCCCGUCGCUUUCAUAUAUAAAUUGAAAUAAGUCGUAACAAAGUAAGGGUACUGGAAAGUGUUCUUAGAAAGAA
rnacentral:ncRNA from 1 species